rnacentral:rRNA from 1 species
UGGGGAAUAUUGCACAAUGGGGGAAACCCUGAUGCAGCGACGCCGCGUGAAGGAAGAAGUAUCUCGGUAUGUAAACUUCUAUCAGCAGGGAAGAAAAUGACGGUACCUGACUAAGAAGCCCCGGCUAACUACGUGCCAGCAGCCGCGGUAAUACGUAGGGGGCAAGCGUUAUCCGGAUUUACUGGGUGUAAAGGGAGCGUAGACGGAGCAGCAAGUCUGAUGUGAAAGGCAGGGGCUCAACCCCUGGACUGCAUUGGAAACUGUUGGUCUUGAGUACCGGAGGGGUAAGCGGAAUUCCUAGUGUAGCGGUGAAAUGCGUAGAUAUUAGGAGGAACACCAGUGGCGAAGGCGGCAUACCGGCGCCCGACUGACGCUGAGGCACGAAAGCGUGGGGAUCGAACAGGAUUAGAUACCC